UACGUAGGGGGCUAGCGUUGUCCGGAAUCAUUGGGCGUAAAGAGCGUGUAGGCGGCCCGGUAAGUCCGCUGUAAAAGUCAAAGGCUCAACCUUUGAAUGUCAGUGGAUACUGCCGGGCUAGAGUCCGGAAGAGGCGAGUGGAACUCCUGGUGUAGCGGUGGAAUGCGCAGAUAUCAGGAAGAACACCAGCGGCGAAGGCAGCUCGCUGGGACGGUACUGACGCUGAGACGCGAAAGCGUGGGGAGCAAACAGG
rnacentral:rRNA from 1 species